GAUGAAGAACGCAGCGAAAUGCGAUAAGUAAUGCGAAUUGCAGAAUUUCCGUGAAUCAUCGAAUCUUUGAACGCACAUUGCACCUCUCGGUAUUCCGGGAGGUAUGCCUGUUCGAGCGUCAUUUGUACCCUCAAGCUCUGCUUGGUGUUGGGUGUUUGUUCCGCCUCUGUGUGUGAACUCGCCUCAAAACAAUUGGCAGCCGGCGUACUUGUUUCGGAGCGCAGCACAUUUUGCGAUCCAGAUCAACGUACAGCGGCAUCCAAGAAGCCUUAUUUAACGCUCUUGACCUCGGAUCAGGUAGGGAUACCCGCUGAACUUAAGCAUAUCAAUAAGCGGAGGA
rnacentral:misc_RNA from 1 species